AUCAAUCAAGAGGGUUGGCGCUGCUGCAUUGUGCACGCAGUUUCCGCAAAUUUUUGAUGGUUUUGACAAUUUGGUUUGCAAAAAAACUUGAAUAAGAUAUGGAAGAUUGAUCGACAUCAAGGUAUACAGUACGUCCGGGCUUACUCAACGACACCUGACACUGACUGAUACUAUUUGUUCGAUACUAAAUGCAACAUGAACGAUUACGGAAAUAAGUGCGAUGAGUCCACAAUUGCGUAGAUGUCUGGACUUAUUCAGCGAUACUUGAUACUAUUUAUUUGGUACUAAUCGCAACAUCAAUGACUACACAAAUAACUGCGAUGAGACCACAAUUAUACGUAGGACCUGAGGAAACAUCCCAAUCUGUCAAUUAUUAAUCUAUAUUACUUAGCCUAACUAACCUUACUCUAACGGCUGCCUGGAGCUCGCCAAACCCUUACCCCUAUCAAUACAUGGAUACACCUGACACCGCUGGAUUUCUACUAGUUGCUACUAACUACGCGCUACUAGUACCACUACAUUGUACAUACGCAAAAAACGCGUCUCUAGGAACACAUUA